GCCUGCCUGCCUGCCUGCCUGCCUGCCUGCCUGCCUGCCUGCCUGCCUGCCUGCCUGCCUGCCUGCCUGCCUGCCUGCCUGCCUGCCGAUCGCACUUCCUGAGCGAUCUUCCGUCCUGCUCGCCCGUGACAGAUACAUGAAAUCAGGAUUCCCCAGGUGGCUGAAAAGCCGUGAUGUAUCUGACUGAAUGUCGAGAGUCCGCCCAACGAGGGAGUGAGACUAUGAAUGGAUUUUCAUCCUAGGAUGACAGUAGGACAAUUUCUUUCUGAAUGAAAGACGGACAAUCGUUUCUGGGGCACAGGAAUGGGCACGUUGAGCUUGCAUGAACCAUAAAUAAAUGUGAGGAUUUUUUG